rnacentral:rRNA from 1 species
AGGGCGCAUGGCGGAUGCCUUGGCUCUCGGAGGCGAUGAAGGACGUGAUAAGCUGCGAUAAGCCGCGGGUAGGUGCAAAUGACCUUUGAUCCGCGGAUUUCCGAAUGGGACAACCCAAUAUCUUGAAGAGGUAUUAUCCUACUAAGUAGGAGGCAAACGCAGGGAACUGAAACAUCUUAGUACCUGUAGGAAGAGAAAAUAAAUAAUGAUUCCCCUAGUAGUGGCGAGCGAACGGGGAACAGCCCAAACCAUAUGUGUUACGGCAUGUAUGGGGUUGUAGGACCACGUCGUGGGACGACAGUUAGUGAGUAGAAUGAUCUGGAAAGUUCAGUCAUAGACGGUGAUAACCCGGUAUACGAAGCUAACUUAACCCUAGUGGUAUCCUGAGUAGCGCGGGACACGAGAAAUCUUGCGUGAAUCUGCCGGGACCAUCCGGUAAGGCUAAAUACUCCCGAGAGACCGAUAGCGAACCAGUACUGUGAAGGAAAGGUGAAAAGCACUUCGAACAGAAGAGUGAAAUAGUCCCUGAAACCAUGCGCCUACAAGCGGUCGGAGCAGCUUUAUGCUGUGACGGCGUGCCUUUUGCAUAAUGAACCUACGAGUUACUUUUUCCGGCAAGGUUAAGGAUCUUGAGAUCCGCAGCCGAAGCGAAAGCGAGUCUGAACAGGGCGGAUAGUCGGAAGGAGUAGACGCGAAACCAAGUGAUCUACCCUUGGCCAGGUUGAAGGACAGGUAACACUGUCUGGAGGACCGAACCGAUAAGCGUUGAAAAGCUUCCGGAUGAGCUGAGGGUGGGGGUGAAAGGCUAAUCAAACUUGGAGAUAGCUCGUACUCCCCGAAAUGCAUUUAGGUGCAGCCUUGAUUUAUACUAAUAUGAGGUAGAGCGACUGAUAAGAUGCGAGGGCUUCGCCGCCUAUCAAGUCUUGACAAACUCCGAAUGCGUAUUAGUUCUAUAUCAGGAGUGAGGGCAUGGGUGCUAAGGUCCAUGUCCUAAAGGAGAACAAUCCGGACCAUCAGCUAAGGUCCCGAAAUAACCACUAAGUUGAUCUAACGAAGUCAGAUUGCUAAGACAGCUAGGAUGUUGGCUUGGAAGCAGCCAUUCAUUUAAAGAGUGCGUAACAGCUCACUAGUCGAGGAGUUUGGCGUGGAUAAUAAUCGGGCAUAAGUGGUUUACCGAAGCUAUGGGAUGUUUAAUACAUCGGUAGGGGAGCAUUCCACUCCGCGUCGAAGGUGAAGCGUGAGCUUUGCUGGAGCGUGUGGAAAAGCAAAUGUAGGUAUAAGUAACGAUAAAGGGGGUGAGAAACCCCCUCGCCGAAAGACUAAGGUUUCCUGAUCAACGCUAAUCGGAUCAGGGUUAGUCGGGUCCUAAGGCUCAGCCGAACGGUGAGGCCGAUGGCAGAACAGGUUAAUAUUCCUGUACUACCUUAAAGAGUGACGUGGAGACGGAGGCGUGACAGUGCCGCGGACUGACGGAAUAGUCCGUUGAAGGGUGUAGAUGUUGAUCGGGGUAGGCAAAUCCGCUCCGAGAGUCGAACCUGAUAGUAUGGAGCGUUCUUCGGAACAAUCCAAUAGCGCAUGUAAUCAUACUCCCAAGAAAAUCCGCUAAACUUAAUCUUUAAGGUACCCGUACCGUAAACGGACACACGUAGUCGGGUUGAAUAUACUAAGGCGCUUGAGUGAUUCACGGUUAAGGAACUAGGCAAAUUGACCCUGUAACUUCGGGAUAAAGGGUCCCCACUGUAAGGUGGGGCGCAGAGAAUCGGUCCAGGCAACUGUUUAACAAAAACACAGGGCUGUGCAAAAUUGAAAGAUGAAGUAUACAGCCUGACACCUGCCCGGUGCUGGAAGGUUAAGAGGAGAUGUCAUCGCAAGAGAAGCAUUGAAUUGAAGCCCCAGUAAACGGCGGCCGUAACUAUAACGGUCCUAAGGUAGCGAAAUUCCUUGUCGGGUAAGUUCCGACCUGCACGAAUGGUGUAAUGAUCUGGACACUGUCUCAACCGUGAGCUCAGUGAAAUUGUAGUAUCGGUGAAGAUGCCGAUUACCCGCGAUGGGACGAAAAGACCCCGUGAACCUUUACUAUAGCUUAACAUUGAAUUUGGGUAAUUGAUGUGUAGGAU